CUGGCUAUAAACUACUAAUAUUUGAUCUUACUCUUAAAUUCAAAGCGUGUAUCAUUGUAAAAUAUAUACCUGCAUAUAUGUAUGUAAUAUUUGCCGCAGUACAUUUAGUCCUACCUUGUAAUAUUAUCCUGGCUACAAGCCUGUAUACAAACUACUGAUAUUUGAUCUUAUUCUUAAAUUCAACGCGUGUAGCAUUGUAAAAUAUCUCAACCUUUCAUACUUUCUAGGUUAACACAAUGUUCAUUGCGACACCAUGGAUUAAGUUUUUAUUCUGAACCAAUACUUACAACAAUUAUCAAUGAUAUACCGCAAG
rnacentral:lncRNA from 1 species